UGAUGUGUGUGUUUUGGUCGACCAAGAUCAGAGAACAAGGGGGGAGAACACCUCAAGCCCUAAAAUCACAAAUCCUUCAAAAUCAAAAAGGGAAUCAGGCCUAAAAUCAGUGCAUGAGCUAAAUUAGUGAUCACUCAAGUUAGGAGAUUACAAGAUGUUAAUCACACGCACUAGACAUAGAGGCUUGAAACGAUGCUAAUACAUGGCAAAUUAGGUGAAACAUCAAGUGGCUAAGCCGGAACGGACACACGUUUGAAGGAAAAACUUUAAGGUACGCAGCUUACUUGCUUCGUAGUAUUUUGCUUAAUGGAUUUGGUUAUUGAUUCAUGAUGGAUGAGGAAAUAACGAUUUACGACAGGUUUGGUAUGUUUAUAUGUGAUGGAUUUCACACAAACAACCGAACGGGUCAAAAUAAAGAAAGUAACAAAUUGAUUCGUUCAUAAGUGAUGGAUUUUCACGCGAACAGACCAAUCGAUUGAAAGCGUGAACCGAGUAACGGAAACGCGGAUUUGUAAUCGGCGAAUCUUUGAAUGGGUUAAAGCUUAGAGAAUAUGGAUUUUCUUUUAAGUAAACAAAAAGUAAGGCUUAUGCUUAGUUAGACUUAAUCAAGCGGAACAAUAUUGCGUAUGAAAACCGUGUAACGGGAGCUUAAAACGCGAGUUUAGUAAGCCCAAGGAAGGGACAAAAUGGUAAGAAAUUAAUUCUUGCCAUAAUGUGAAUAAUGAGGUUUAACGUAAAACGAGUCACAUAAUUUCAUAAAAGAAUUACAAGCCGAAAGCUUAUAAAUUACGAAUCUUGUUGAUUAGGAUAGUGGAUGUUGAGUCCAUAUUGAUGAUCAAAUUACGAUUGUUUAGGAAGAAACGGGAGGUUAAACGGAUAAAGGCAAAAUAAACAACAAACUGUAGACCUAAACCGUAACCUACGGCUGGAGGCCGUAGGCUACGGUCCAAGCUUUCUGUCUGGGAAGAUCCAUACGGACCGUAAGCUACGGUUUGAGGUCCGUAGCUUACGGUGUGAAAUUCAAAAAUUUUUAUUUUUGUUUUGUUGAGUAAUUUAUGUUAUUAGAUUACCUUUAAUCAUUAUAAUACUAACAUUUAAGACUCUUAAUUGUUAUUCAAGUCUUUAAUAUGUUGUUAAUGGAUGGGAUCAAGCUCGUGCAAGAACCGAACACAAUAAAUUUGAAGCUUCCGCUUUUGGUUUUAGAUGUUUAUUAUGAACCAAACUAUGUUAUCGUUUUGUAAAUGUUUUAAACACUUAUGGAUCUUAAUUAACCCGUAAGUAUACAAUAUUAUAU
rnacentral:lncRNA from 1 species